rnacentral:tRNA from 1 species
GCGGGAAUAGCUCAGUUGGUAGAGCAUGUGCUUGCCAAGCACAAGGUCGCCGGUUCGACCCCGGUUUCCCGCUCCA